CGCGUGAGUAACCUGCCCUUGAUUGGGGGAUAACACACCGAAAGGUGUGCUAAUACCGCAUAACAUCAUUUUACCGCAUGGUAAGGUGAUCAAAGAUUUAUUGAUCAAGGAUGGACUCGCGUCUGAUUAGCUAGUUGGUGAGGUAAUGGCUCACCAAGGCGACGAUCAGUAGCCGAACUGAGAGGUUGAUCGGCCACAUUGGGACUGAGACACGGCCCAGACUCCUACGGAAGGCAGCAG
rnacentral:rRNA from 1 species